UGGCUCUCGCAUCGAUGAAGAACGCAGCGAAAUGCGAUAAGUAAUGUGAAUUGCAGAAUUCAGUGAAUCAUCGAAUCUUUGAACGCACCUUGCGCCCUUUGGUAUUCCGAAGGGCAUGCCUGUUCGAGUGUCAUUAAAUUAUCAACGCGAUAGCUUUUGCUGUCUGCGCUUGGACUUUGGAGCGUGCGGGACUCGUUCGCGAGAUCCGCUCCUCUUGAAAUGCAUUAGCGGUUUGCCCAUUCGCAGAUCUGCUCCGGCGUGAUAAUUAUCUACGUCGCGGCGGUGAUGCCCCUAUCCGGUGCAGCUGCUCCUAACCGUCGCCCCUGUGGCGACAACACAUCAUGACAAUUUGGCCUCGAAUCAGGUAGGAUUACCCGCUGA
rnacentral:misc_RNA from 1 species